rnacentral:rRNA from 1 species
UACGUAGGUGGCAAGCGUUGUCCGGAUUUAUUGGGUUUAAAGGGUGCGUAGGCGGCCCUGUAAGUCAGUGCUGAAAUAUCCCGGCUUAACCGGGAGGGUGGCAUUGAUACUGCAGGGCUAGAGUACAGAUGAGGUAGGCGGAAUUGACGGUGUAGCGGUGAAAUGCUUAGAUAUCGUCAAGAACACCUAUAGCGAAGGCAGCUUACUAGGCUGUAACUGACGCUGAGGCACGAAAGUGUGGGGAUCAAACAGG